UACGUAGGGGGCGAGCGUUGUCCGGAUUUAUUGGGCGUAAAGAGCUCGUAGGCGGCUGGGCAAGUCGGGUGUGAAAACUCCAGGCUCAACUUGGAGACGCCACUUGAUACUGCCCUGGCUUGAGUCCGGUAGGGGAGCGCGGAAUUCCUGGUGUAGCGGUGAAAUGCGCAGAGAUCAGGAGGAACACCGGUGGCGAAGGCGGCGCUCUGCUGGACCUUAACUGACACUGAGGGACGAAAGCUAGGGGAGCGAAUGGG
rnacentral:rRNA from 1 species